CAAAUACGACUUUUACACGGACACAAAGACACAGAGAAGCUAUAAACCAACAAAAAGAGCUGCAGGAAUCAGAGCGGAGGGAGUCAUCUGUCUUCGCGCAUCACCUUUGAGGCCCUGCAGCGUGCUGCCUUCACGUUCCUUUGGAAAUUGUUUCAUCACGGGCCCAGACUGGAUGAGCACCACCCUCCUGCUCUGCUGUAGGUGAAGCGGUCAGAGCUCUGUUCCUGGACCAUCCUGUUCCUAACCAUAUACAGUCUUCUGUUGGAAUCACCUCAUCUCUGCUAUUAACUGGAAGAAGGACGUGUCCUUUAAACGUGUCCACAGGUGUGUCCUACCAAAGGUGUCCUUAAAACUGCUAUAAAACGUGACUCUCAGGGGUUUUGGAACGACGUCUUAUCUGGAC
ensembl:lncRNA